AUUGAACGCUGGCGGCAGGCUUAACACAUGCAAGUCGAGCGGGGGAAGGUAGCUUGCUACUGGACCUAGCGGCGGACGGGUGAGUAAUGCUUAGGAAUCUGCCUAUUAGUGGGGGACAACAUCUCGAAAGGGAUGCUAAUACCGCAUACGUCCUACGGGAGAAAGCAGGGGAUCUUCGGACCUUGCGCUAAUAGAUGAGCCUAAGUCGGAUUAGCUAGUUGGUGGGGUAAAGGCCUACCAAGGCGACGAUCUGUAGCGGGUCUGAGAGGAUGAUCCGCCACACUGGGACUGAGACACGGCCCAGACUCCUACGGGAGACAGCAGUGGGGAAUAUUGGACAAUGGGGGGAACCCUGAUCCAGCCACGCCGCGUGUGUGAAGAAGGCCUUAUGGUUGUAAAGCACUUUAAGCGAGGAGGAGGCUACUUUAGUUAAUACCUAGAGAUAGUGGACGUUACUCGCAGAAUAAGCACCGGCUAACUCUGUGCCAGCAGCCGCGGUAA
rnacentral:rRNA from 1 species